rnacentral:rRNA from 1 species
GGUUGAUCCUGCCAGUAGUCAUAUGCUUGUCCCAAAGAUUAAGCCAUGCAUGUCUAAGUAUAAACAAUUCUAUACAGUGAAACUGCGAAUGGCUCAUUAUAUCAGUUAUAAUUUACUUGAUAGUCUCUUUACUACAUGGAUAACCGUGGUAAUUCUAGAGCUAAUACAUGCGAAAAGCCCGUCCUAUGGAGGGCUGUAUUUAUUAGAUAAAAAACCAACGCCCUCGGGCCCCUUGGUGAUUCAUAAUAACUUUGCUGAUCGCAAGGCCUUGUGCCGGCGACGUUUCAUUCAAA